rnacentral:sRNA from 1 species
GUUUGCACUUGUCGGGGAAGGGUGAGAACCUUCGAUUAAGGUUCGACUCGAGCGAAAGCGAGAGAACGUUGCCAACGGCAACGACCCGUAGGGCGAAGCGCGCAGCGCUGAGUCAUCCUUCCCCCACCACCA